AACGAACGCUGGCGGCGGGCCUAACACAUGCAAGUCGAACGAGAAAGCACCUGCUUGCAGGAGCGAGUAAAGUGGCGCACGGGUGAGUAACGCGUGGUUAAUCUGCCUUUGAGUGGGGAAUAACGUACCGAAAGGUGCACUAAUACCGCAUAAGACCACAGUAUCUGCGGAUACAGGGGUCAAAGGGGGCUUCGGCUCCCGCUUAAAGAUGAGACCGCGUCCCAUUAGCUUGUUGGUGAGGUAACGGCUCACCAAGGCCGCGAUGGGUAGCUGAUCUGAGAGGAGUAUCAGCCACACUGGAACUGACACACGGUCCAGACUCCUACGGGAGGCAGCAGUGGGGAAUAUUGGACAAUGGGGGGAACCCUGAUCCAGCCAUGCCGCGUGUGUGAAGAAGGCCUUAUGGUUGUAAAGCACUUUAAGCGAGGAGGAGGCUACUGAGACUAAUACUCUUGGAUAGUGGACGUUACUCGCAGAAUAAGCACCGGCUAACUCUGUGCCAGCCGCCGCGGUAA
rnacentral:rRNA from 1 species